rnacentral:rRNA from 1 species
AGAGUUUGAUCCUGGCUCAGGACGAACGCUGGCGGCGUGCCUAAUACAUGCAAGUAGAACGCUGAAGAGAGGAGCUUGCUCUUCUUGGAUGAGUUGCGAACGGGUGAGUAACGCGUAGGUAACCUGCCUUGUAGCGGGGGAUAACUAUUGGAAACGAUAGCUAAUACCGCAUAACAAUGGAUGACACAUGUCAUUUAUUUGAAAGGGGCAAUUGCUCCACUACAAGAUGGACCUGCGUUGUAUUAGCUAGUAGGUGAGGUAACGGCUCACCUAAGCGACGAUACAUAGCCGACCUGAGAGGGUGAUCGGCCACACUGGGACUGAGACACGGCCCAGACUCCUACGGGAGGCAGCAGUAGGGAAUCUUCGGCAAUGGGGGCAAACCUGACCGAGCAACGCCGCGUGAGUGAAGAAGGUUUUCGGAUCGUAAAGCUCUGUUGUAAGUCAAGAACGAGUGUGAGAGUGGAAAGUUCACACUGUGACGGUAGCUUACCAGAAAGGGACG